rnacentral:rRNA from 1 species
UACGUAGGGUGCAAGCGUUAAUCGGAAUUACUGGGCGUAAAGCGUGCGCAGGCGGUUUUGUAAGUCUGUCGUGAAAGCCCCGGGCUUAACCUGGGAAUUGCGAUGGAGACUGCAAGGCUUGAAUCUGGCAGAGGGGGGUAGAAUUCCACAUGUAGCAGUGAAAUGCGUAGAGAUGUGGAGGAACACCGAUGGCGAAGGCAGCCCCCUGGGUCAAGAUUGACGCUCAUGCACGAAAGCGUGGGGAGCAAACAGG